GACAGAGGGGGCAAGCGUUGCUCGGCAUUACUGGGCGUAAAGGGCGCGUAGGCGGGCUGGCCAGUCGGUCGUGAAAUCCCUCGGCUCAACCGAGGAACGUCGAUCGAUACUGCUGUUCUUGAGGAUUGCAGAGGAGACUGGAAUUCCCGGUGUAGCGGUGAAAUGUGUAGAGAUCGGGAGGAACACCGGUGGCGAAGGCGGGUCUCUGGGCAAUUCCUGACGCUGAGGCGCGAAAGCGUGGGGAGCAAACGGG
rnacentral:rRNA from 1 species